rnacentral:lncRNA from 1 species
ACUAGCUCCGCUUCUGAAAAUUAUGUGAGUUCUUAAACCACACAUCAAGGCCAAUAAUUGAUUGCCUUUUGUUCAAACAUUUCAUGAAGAGGAUCAUACUUUUAUUAAAUUGAUAAUUUUACAAUUUUGUGAUCAUACUCGAAUAACAUGCACUUUAGUAUGAUUAAUUUUGACAUGGACCUCAAUUUUCAUUACCAUAUUGUUACUGGAAUGAUUUCUUUUUUUUUUUUUUGGGUUGAUUAUACAGUCACUAUAAAUCUGCAGUUGGGGAGUGCUUCAAUGGUGGAUUGGGCUGAAAUUUCGAUAGCAAGUUCUGGAUGUAAUUUUUCGUUCCGAAUUGUUGGAGGAUUAAGAUAAGAUUUGGAGGGUGAGAUAUAGCUUGCAUGUGCAAAGUAACUCUGGUUUUGAAAACUUUUCAUGUUUUUGGUUCACAUUUAUAUGCUGUGGUGCUUGAUUGUUUUGACUUAAAUGUAAG